GACGAACGCUGGCGGCGUGCUUAACACAUGCAAGUCGAACGGAAAGGCCCUGCUUUUGUGGGGUGCUCGAGUGGCGAACGGGUGAGUAACACGUGAGUAACCUGCCCUUGACUUUGGGAUAACUUCAGGAAACUGGGGCUAAUACCGGAUAGGAGCUCCUGCUGCAUGGUGGGGGUUGGAAAGUUUCGGCGGUUGGGGAUGGACUCGCGGCUUAUCAGCUUGUUGGUGGGGUAGUGGCUUACCAAGGCUUUGACGGGUAGCCGGCCUGAGAGGGUGACCGGCCACAUUGGGACUGAGAUACGGCCCAGACUCCUACGGGAGGCAGCAGUGGGGAAUAUUGCACAAUGGGCGGAAGACUGAUGCAGCAACGCCGCGUGCGGGAUGACGGCCUUCGGGUUGUAAACCGCUUUCGCCUGUGACGAAGCGUGAGUGACGGUAAUGGGUAAAGAAGCACCGGCUAACUACGU
rnacentral:rRNA from 1 species